UACAUGUGGGGCAAGCGUUGUUCGGAAUUACUGGGCAUAAAGGGUGCGUAGGCGGCUUGUUAAGUCACUGGUGAAAGUUUUCGGCCCAACCGGAAAAUUGCCUGUGAUACUGGCGAGCUUGAGUGCGUGAGGGGUGGGGGGAACGAGCAGUGUAGCGGUGAAAUGCGUAGAUAUUCGCAAGAACACCAGUGGCGAAGGCGGCUCACUGGCCCGGUACUGACGCUGAGGUGCGAAAGCGUGGGGAGCAAACAGG
rnacentral:rRNA from 1 species